rnacentral:lncRNA from 1 species
GGUGGAUAUUCACUCCGACUCUGAGAAGACGACCAGUCUCCCAAAAGGUCACCAGAUCCAAAACCUUGUUGUCUAUUAUGCGCAGACGGUGAAAACCUCACCGUGGUAGAAGCACUCAGACCAUCGUAAGACCAAUUAAAGCGAUAGAAGCAUCACUGCACCGUGUGACCGAACCUAUUACAAAUUUGGCACUGCAUGCGCGAACGGAAGCCACACCCUUGCAAACCUACUGUCGCACGACCUCCACUCACAUCACGUAAAACAGAAUCGACGAUUGCAGCAACAUCAGGCGAUUCAACAAGAUGAGCAUGGAUGGGAACCUCACGCGCCACUCGCACCUGUCUACUUUCAAAUUCCAUGAGAACCUCGACCAAACGCAGACAGGGAAAAGGCUACGUCGAGAACAAAGCCAAGGUCAGUAUGAUAUCAAAAUUCGAUGAGAGCCCAGCCAAAAUGACUUCCACCUUUUUAGCUUCUGACACCACCGAUCCAGAGGCUGCAAGUAAGGCACAGGUAUUUUCUAUCUUCGCAAUAUAUUCUGUGACAGUUUACUCACUCUUCUGUGUAGAAUGAAGAUCAUGCUUGAUGCGAGAAAUUUUCACACUAGUUAACGCAGCGAAAAGACGAUUUGCGGUGCUCUAGAUGUCACACGCAGAUUGAGCAGAGGUAAAACAUGGCAAAAGUGACGAGCUAAUCGUACUUAGGAGCCAAGAAGCUAACAGCUUAUCUUGUUGAUUGAACAUAGCCGCUUCUGGAUUCGGAAUAAGAGCACCUUCUGGAGACGCAAUAAACCGAGACGGAACAGACAGCGUACCUUCCAAGAAACCUUGCAGCUCAUAUCCCUCUAUUAUUAAUCGGAAAUGUUGCUGCCAUUGAACAAAGUUUUCUCCCUCUAGUUUCACCGUGUCAUGACGGGGGAAAGAUUGGACCAGGCGUUGACUAGAAAAUGCCGGACUCAUAGGAUCAGCAAAAUUAGAAUCGGCUGAUGGUGCCAUAACACAACAACGGAAGCACGUACUAGGACUAGGCGACUGAUACCAUGUAAGAUACUACUCGAAAUAUGUAUAAACAGAAAAAUGAAGUAUAGAAGAAUUCUUUAGUCUUAUGCUAUCUAGUUGAAUGAAUACACUGAUGAGGUUUUAUACAAAUAUGAUAACCAACUGCCUAAUGAACUGCUUAACAAAUUUUGUAACAACCUAUCAAACUAACCAUCGUAACAACUGUUUAACACUCACGCACAAAAG